AUGAGAAUUCCAUUCUUUCUCAUCACAAUCCUCCUUCUCUCUCUCCAAUUCAAUGCUUCCCCAGUUGGUGGAAGCAAGAAGGUGACGAACAUCCGCUUCUACCUCCACAACACCCAUAAGGUGAAUGAUCCAUCCUCGGUCCUUGUCGCACAAAACACCAAUGCCACAGCCCACGCCCGUGGCUUAGUGCCCUUUAGCUCCGUCUACGUGUUUGACGACGUGCUCACAAAGGGGGCCACAAGUAGAUCUAAGGUGGAUGGGAAUGCACAGGGCAUGUACGUUGAAACGGGGAAAGACGGGUACACGAUAUUGUUAACUAUUGACUGUGAGAUGACAGAUGGUCCAUUCAAAGGCAGCUCGUUCGUGAUGUUCUCAAGAAAUGAAUUCAGAAAGCCAAUCAGGGAGGUCCCCGUUAUUGGAGGUCGUGGUGCAUUCCGAAUGGCCAAAGGGUACGGCUUGCUCAAGACCGUUUGUGUUGACUGUAUCAACUCGGUGAAACCGUCCAAGGGAGAUAUCAUCGAGUAUAAUGUGACUCUCUACCUCCAUUGA
rnacentral:rRNA from 1 species